UACGAAGGGGGCUAGCGUUGCUCGGAAUCACUGGGCGUAAAGGGUGCGUAGGCGGGUCUUUAAGUCAGGGGUGAAAUCCUGGAGCUCAACUCCAGAACUGCCUUUGAUACUGAAGAUCUUGAGUUCGGGAGAGGUGAGUGGAACUGCGAGUGUAGAGGUGAAAUUCGUAGAUAUCGGGAGGAACACCAGUGGCGAAGGCGGCGAUCUGGGUCGAUACUGACGCUGAGGUGCGAAAGCGUGGGGAGCAAACAGG
rnacentral:rRNA from 1 species